rnacentral:lncRNA from 1 species
AAAGAAAAAUUGCUUCAAAACCAAAGGGUAAAAGGAUUCAACCCCAAAUGCUACUUCCAAUAUGCCAAGUAAGCAAAACCCAAAGAAAACAAACAACCAAGACCUCCAUUCCCCUAGCCAUUCACGACAAUUACAAGGCUUAAGACAAAGCUUAAAUAGGAAACAUUCCCUUAGUCAAAAGUAGCUCCAUAUGUGCUUGGCCAAAUUGGGUAAAAAUUAAAUGAAGCAUUCUCUCUCCUUACACAACCCCAUUUUCGUUUUUCAUCAACAAACAAACAUCCAAAUUGCUUCUUCCCAUCUCCCAACCGAGAAUGAGCUCAAGAAUUCCAAGGUUCAACAUCAAAAUAACACAAGCACAACAAAACCAAUUUCUACCUUCAUAAGUCCAACUUCACCACUUACUUUUCUUAAACUUUUUGACCAAAACAAAACCAAACCUCUAGCUUCCCUUGCAUAACCGUCCAGCCACCAUUAUCAAACACAAAGUCCAGCUCAAAAUUUGCUUCCCAACAUCAAAAACAAAAUGCUAGAAGAAAAUGGCUCAAGAAUACAAUACCCAUACACCAACUUAAGCCUUUUUCACUACCAAACUUGACAACAACUCCAUUUUCAUCCUCCAAUCCAAGAAAGUCAAAGUAAAAUCGAAAUCACUGCAGCAAAAUGAUGAGAAAACCGAAAUGGACAAUGGGUCUCCCUUCCACCAAAGAAACCACCAUGAAAAAGCAAAGAAGAAACUUCAAACUCAAGCAUUCAACCUUCAAAACGAAAAUCUAAAGAGAGAAAUGGUAAAUCUUCAUUCCAUCAAGCAAGAACAAGCAUUGUUGCACAUAAUAGAAGAAGAAAGACG